rnacentral:rRNA from 1 species
AUUGAACGCUGGCGGCAGGCCUAACACAUGCAAGUCGAACGAGUGGCGGACGGGUGAGUAAUGUCUGGGAAACUGCCUGAUGGAGGGGGAUAACUCCUGGAAACGGUAGCUAAUACCGCAUACCAUCAGAUGUGCCCAGAUGGGAUUAGCUAGUAGGUGGGGUAAAGGCUCACCGAGGCGACGAUCCCUAGCUGGUCUGAGAGGAUGACCAGCCACACUGGAACUGAGACACGGUCCAGACUCCGACGGGAGGCAGCAGUGGGGAAUAUUGCACAAUGGGCGCAAGCCUGAUGCAGCCAUGCCGCGUGUAUGAAGAAGGCCUUCGGGUUGUAAAGGACUUUCAGCGGGGAGGCGUUACCCGCAGAAGAAGCACCGGCUAACUCCGUGCCAGCAGCCGCGGUAAUUC